GGAACGGCACUUCUUGCACCAGCAAAGUUAAUAGCUGCAAAUGCAGGAGUGGAUGGGGAUACAGUUGUGGAAAAAGUUAGAGGUUGUGACUGGAAAAUGGGGUAUAACGCCAUGACUGGAAGAUAUGAAGACCUUCUUGCUUCUGGUAUUAUUGAUCCUUGCCGUGUUUCACGAUGUGCCCUUCAGAAUGCUGUCUCCGUUGCCGGUAUAGUCCUAACUACUCAAGCAAUAAUGGUAGAGAAAACCAAGGAGCCCAAACCCCUUGUUCCUUAUGUUCCUGGUAUAACUCCUUAAAAGUUCGAAGGAUAAACCUUGGUCGAAGCACUAGACAAGGAAGUUUCAAUUCAUGAUGUUGUCUUACAAGGGAAGUUCUGGUUUGCCACUUUGACUUGGAUGAGAUAUUUAGAAGAGUUGAAAAUCUUGUGUCCAGCUGAAACUAGAGAUUGUCUCAUUGCAGAUAAAAUUGCUUCCAGACACGAGCAUUUUCUAGCCUCGACUCUUGGUAGGAAAAUAUAGUUAAUCCUCAAGCAUACAGGAACUGUUUUGAUCCCAAUAGCACAGUCAUCUUGUUUCAGUAGUACUUGUUCCUGCAGGCGGAGGAUUG
rnacentral:misc_RNA from 1 species